AACGAACGCUGGCGGCAUGCCUAACACAUGCAAGUCGAACGAGACCUUCGGGUCUAGUGGCGCACGGGUGCGUAACCCGUGGGAACCUUCCCUUAGGUUCGGAAUAACUCCCCGAAAGGGGUGCUAAUACCGGAUAAUGUCUUCUGACCAAAGAUUUAUCGCCUUUGGAUGGUCCCGCGUUGGAUUAGCUAGUUGGUAGGGUAAAAGCCUACCAAGGCGACGAUCCAUAGCUGGUCUGAGAGGAGGAUCAGCCACACUGGGACUGGGACACGGCCCAGACUCCUACGGGAGGCGGCAGUGGGGAAUAUUGGACAAUGGGCGAAAGCCUGAUCCAGCACUGCCGCGUGAGUGAUGAAGGCAUUAGGGUUGUAAAGCUCUUUUAACCGGGAUGAUAAUGACAGUACCGGGAGAAUAAGCUCCGGCUAACUCCGUG
rnacentral:rRNA from 1 species